GUCAAUAAAAAGUGGCCAAAAUGAAUUAUCCAGUUGUCAUUCACUAUCAGAGAAGUGAACACUUUCUAAUUUUUGAAGUCUCUAAAAUCUAAAAUUUGGCUUCGUUUGGUUCGAAUAUAAAAGUCUCUAAAUUUGAACACUUUCUAAUUUUUGAAGUCUCUAAAAUCUAAUAAAAGCCUCUAAAUUUGGCUUCGUUUGGUUCGAUUAUAAAUAAGAAUUAUUUAUUUUAGAAAUAAGUAUAAAUUCAGAUAUAAGUCUGGAAUAUAUCAAUUUUACAUUUGAGUGAAAAUUAUUUUAUUCCCGAGAAUAAGAAAAAUAAAAUUUGUUUUGGAUAAAUAAAAUGAAAUAAGAAUAAUAGUGGGUAGUUAUAAAUAGAAAAUAAUGAUAUUGCCCCUUAUAUUAUACUUGAAUUUAAAAUUUUAAAUUUAAAUAUAUAAUUUUUAAAUUUUAAAAACUUAAAAUAUAAAUUUACAAAUUAUAAAUUUUAAAAUUUAAAAUAUAAAUAUAAAUUUUUUUAAAAAAUUAAAUAGGGGUGGGAACAAUUGUUCAAACCCCUAUUCCCACACAAGGGUGGGAUAACGGAUUAUCCCAGGAUAACCC
rnacentral:lncRNA from 1 species